GUAACACGUAGUCAACAUGCCCAGGGGACGUGGAUAACCUCGGGAAACUGAGGAUAAACCGCGAUAGACCAAGAUUUCUGGAAUGGAUCAUGGUUGAAAUCUAUACGGCCUCUGGAUUGGACUGCGGCCGAUCAGGCUGUUGGUGAGGUAAUGGCCCACCAAACCUAUAACCGGUACGGGCUUUGAGAGAAGGAGCCCGGAGAUGGGCACUGAGACAAGGGCCCAGGUCCUAUGGGGCGCAGCAGGCGCGAAACCUCUGCAAUAAGCGAAAGCUUGACAGGGUUACUCUGAGUGAUGUCCGCUAAGGGCAUCUUUUGGCACCUCUAAAAAUGGUGCAGAAUAAGGGGUGGGCAAGUCUGGUGUCAGCCGCCGCGGUAAUACCAGCACCCCGAGUGGUCGGGACGAUUAUUGGGCCUAAAGCAUCCGUAGCUUGUUCUGCAAGUCUUCCGUUAAAUCCACCUGCUCAACAGAUGGGCCGCGGAGGAUACUACAGGGCU
rnacentral:rRNA from 1 species